rnacentral:rRNA from 1 species
UACGUAGGUGGCAAGCGUUAUCCGGAAUUAUUGGGCGUAAAGCGCGCGCAGGCGGUUUCUUAAGUCUGAUGUGAAAGCCCACGGCUCAACCGUGGAGGGUCAUUGGAAACUGGGGAACUUGAGUGCAGAAGAGAAAAGCGGAAUUCCACGUGUAGCGGUGAAAUGCGUAGAGAUGUGGAGGAACACCAGUGGCGAAGGCGGCUUUUUGGUCUGUAACUGAAGCUGAGGCGCGAAAGCGUGGGGAGCAAACAGG